CGCAGCCGCGGUAAUUCCAGCUCCAAUAGCGUAUAUUAAAGUUGUUGCAGUUAAAAAGCUCGUAGUUGAAUUUCGGGAUCAAUCUAAUCGGUCGUGCAAUAGUACGUACUGAUUUUAUUGAUUCCUACCUUCUGAUGAACUAUGAUGUCAUUAAUUUGGUGUCAUAGGGAAUCAGGACUGUUACUUUGAAAAAAUUGAGUGUUUAAAGCAGGCUCACGCUUGAAUACAUUAGCAUGGAAUAACGAAAUAGGACGUUUGAUUCUAUUUUGUGGUUUCUAGGAUCGACGUAAUGAUUAAUAGGGAUAGUUGGGGCAUUAGUAUUCAAUUGUCAGAGGUGAAAUUCUUGGAUUUAUUGAAGACUAACUACUGCGAAAGCAUUUGCCAAGGAUGUUUUCAUUAAUCAAGAACGAAAGUUAGGGGAUCGAAGACGAUCAGAUACCGUCGUAGUCUUAACCAUAAACUAUGCCGACUAGGGAUCGGAUGAUGUUAAUUUUUUAAUGA
rnacentral:rRNA from 1 species